UCCCACCCUCGGCCUCUGUGUGGAGUUUGCAUGUUCUCCCCGUGCAUGCGUGGGUUUUCUCCGGGUACUCCGGUUUCCUCCCACAUUCCAAAAACAUGCUAGGUUAAUUGGCCACUCCAAAUUGUCCAUAGGUAUGAAUGUGAGUGUGAAUGGUUGUUUGUCUAUAUGUGCCCUGUGAUUGGCUGGCCACCAGUCCAGGGUGUACCCCGCCUCUCGCCUGAAGACAGCUGGGAUAGGCUCCAGCACCCCCGCGACCCUCGUGAGGAUAAGCGGUAGAAAAUGAAUGAAUGAAUGAAAUAAGCAAACCAAGAAUCAAGUUUAUUUGUAGUUCUAGAUGUAUUUAAGGUGUUUUUACUCACUUAUUUUGUUUCUCCUACAAGGAAAUUAUUUUCCCACAGCAUUUUACACAUCAUAUGCAAAUAAUGUGUAAACUACGUAGAUGAUGACAUCAUUUCCAAGACAACCAAUAGCUAGUCUUCUUACUGAAACGUUAGCAAUAGUGUUGGCUACGGUGUACAAGCUACCUCCGGCAGUUAGAGAUGGGCUCUUUGGCUCUUUGAGGGGAGCCGUUUCUUUCAAAGAGCCGUUUAAAAAAACGGCUCAUUUGGCUCAUUUUUAUAUUUAUUAAGUUUUAAGAAGCCAGCCUGGCCUUAAUUAUUUUUAUCCUGGAAAUAAUCACUGGGAGGAAUGAAUUUAGAUAUCACACCGGUAUGAGUUUGAAUUAUUCUGAAAUACAGAUUCUAAAGUUUUAAAGUCUGAUUUGGAUUCACUGUAAAUAUUCCACAGGGUGCUGCUGCUCUCCAAGGCAGGGUGCAUUCACGUGUUUCUGUGUUUUUUGGUUUUUACUAACACACUCACGUGAAGGCACCAUGCACCGCUGGGCUGCGCUCCUCCCCAUGUAACUGGUGGGGGGCGGGGGUCCCAUCGUUCAUGUUAAUGAGCCGUUCAAAAGAACCGGUUCGUUCGUGAACGUCACAACACUUCCGGCAGUCUGAAGAAGCACAUAAAGACGCUUUGUUGACUUCCAAAACCUUUGAGCCUCCGGGAAACUUUGGCCUUUGAUGCAAGGCGAGGAUAUUGUUAAGAGAACAUGUGCGCUUUACCUGAUCUGCAGGCGAUGUCCACGUCUUUCUCAAAGUCUGUCUGUAAAAACAACACGGUCACAUGAUAAGAUACAGUGCACCAUCACUAUGACGAAACCCUGCAGCGAGUCAAAGACCGCAAAGAGGAUCUGAAAGAGGAUGGAACGCUUGUCCGUCAUGGCGAGCACUGCGGACAUCCAGGUCAAGGCCAGUAGAGGUAGGACGACACAGGAACUCCACAGGGACGCCCUGAGAGGAGGCAUAUAGAGAACUGUAUGGAGCUGGUAGUAAUAUAAGGGCGGCCGUUAAAUUCAUAAGCACAAACAAUUUGAUUUUUUUUCAUGUCUGCUGUGAUGUGAUUUAUAGCGAGAACGUGAGUUGCCACGGCAGUGGUUCCACAUCAGCGUGGUGAACCUGCUGUAUAUGCAGCAUUGUCUCAUCGAUUAACAAGUCACUUACAUUGCAUUGCUAGCUGUAGUCGCUGACAAAGCAGUCGUUGAUACGACGCCGCAUUUGGCGCACUUGAGAGUUAAUCCCGUGUGAGGCUCACUCAUCUGUCUGUGGGGCAGAAGAGACAACGGCGUGACCAACGACGCUAACAACCACUCACGCUGCAUCGUUAAAUAUUAGUAACGGCACACGCAGCCAGCUUGUGGGCGUACUACAGCAUUUCAUCUUGAACUUAUUCUGCCAAAGAAAUGUGCAUUCAUGUCACUCCCAGGAGAGAGUUGACCUCUUUACGUUUAUGUCCUAUGCUUUCUUUUAGACGCCAUUUAAAUGAGCUCUGAAUUGCCAUAUAUGUUUAAAGCAGCUGUAAAUAUGCAUAGAUUUUUGCUCCCAGACUCCCCUUAUGGUUGUAAAGUGUAGUUUACUUAUAAGCAACUAUCGUGUAUCAAAAUCUAGAACAAUGUUAACAUGCAAUUAAAAAGCAUGGGACUUUUUUUUUUUUAGCAUUUAGCAGCUUUGUUACAAACAUUCAUUCAUUCAUUUUCUACCGCUUUUUCCUCACGAGGGUCGCGGGGGUGCUGGAGCCUAUCCCAGCUGUCUUCGGGCGGGAGGCGGGGUACACCCUGGACUGGUCGCCAGCCAAUCACAGGGCACAUAUAGACAAACAACCAUUCACACUCACAUUCAUACCUAUGGACAAUUUGGAGUGGCCAAUUAACCUAGCAUGUUUUUGGAAUGUGGGAGGAAACCGGAGUACCCGGAGAAAACCCACGCAUGCACGGGGAGAACAUGCAAACUCCACACAGAGAUGGCCGAGGGUGGGAAUUGAACCCUGGUCUCCUAGCUGUGAGGUCUGUGCGCUAACCACUAGACCGCCGUGCCGCUUUGUUACAAACAAAUGAAUAUAAUUUUUUUUCUGUAUUAUUAUUAAUAAUUUUCAAAAUAACCACCAACUGAUCAUUAACUGACCCAAUUAGCCAAUCAAGGAAUUGUCAUAAAAUGUCCUACCCUAGCAAUAAAACAAAGAACUUAAUGUCUUGAAAUGAGCACAUGAUGAUUAAAAUGUCCUGCAAAGUGUGCGCAAGCAAUUGAAACAGCUCUGAAAAGAAUCGUUAGAACAAAGGACACAUCGUUGGUUUAAAAACAUGCACCACUUUAGUCAUGAAUUAAUAAAGAAGAAAAAUGAAGGUACUAACAAGGACGUGCUGUCAUACCCUGCACGAUGCUUCAUCUUCUUGUCCAGUAUACCAUCCCUGGACACUAAUUUAUUAAACACCAGGAUACCGAUCACCAUGUUGACCUGAAAGUGAAGGGAACAGAUCUUCAAUAAAUCAGACCAAUGCAACCAUUAUUCCAAACUUAAUGUCAAAUGUAUGGUUUGCCGACAUUACAAUUUCCAUUAGUAGCCGAUGACUGAUGUCAUUGUCAUAUUUCUCCACCUCAAUUUUGCGUGUGUUCACUGAGUUUUGACCUCUUGCUUCUGGUUUUUUUUCCCUCAUAUCUGUCACAUUUCAGCCAGCGGAUGAGCCAUGCCAUGCACACUCAGUCCGGCACGGCAGCCUUAGGAAAAGAUCUGCCUAAUAAGAAACACUUUUCCUCUCAAAGGCACCUUCGACUUGCAUUAGCAGCAACUCCACUGACACAAAACUGGGGCAGCAGAGUGUGAUUUUGAGUUUAAUACAGCAGCUUUAUCAAAAAAUAAACCAGCUUGUUCCUAAAAAAGGACAAAUCAAUAAGUCAUUAUUGUAUUCUGAUGAGAAACUUUAGUUGAUGGUGCAAAAUGCACAACCCAAACUUGCUACCUGAAUGUUACAUAUGUACAAUCAAUGCGAUCCUGCCACUUAUUAAUAAGAUUAAGAUUAAGAUAUGCCUUUAUUCGUCCCUCAGUGGGGAAAUUUGUAUUGCACAGCAGCAAGAGUACAGAAUCAGUGAAGCAGUACAAAAUACACAAUAUAGAAAAAUAAACAAUAUAAACAACCCAAGUAUUAACAAAAUCAACAGUUUUUCCCAGAGUUAUAUACAAUACAGUAUGUAGAUAAUAUGAAAUAAUAUUAACUCUCUAGUUACACAUAUUUUACAUGUAAAAGUGUCAUGCAAUCUGCUAUAUGUGCACUUUGAAAUCAUUUAUUUGAUGUAAAGUGUGUUAUAAAUGUAUUAUUAUUGUUAUUUUAUUAGAAUUAUUAUUAUUAUUAGUUAUAGUAAUGUUAUUAUAUUAUUAUUAUUAUUAUUUUGUUAAUAAUAAUAAUAUUACUACCAUUAUUAUAUUAAUAUUAUUAACAACAAUAUUAAUAUAAUAGUAGUAUUAUUAUCAUUAGUUAGAGAGUUAAUAUGAGGCAUUAUGGAAAUACUUCACAUGGAACUUACUAUAUUAUAAAAAUAACCCUCCAUUACAGAAAUGACUAGACAACAACAGAUAAUCCACACAGCCAAAACCCAGGUUUUUGUGAAAAUAUGCAUUUCAAGCAUAACUUUCACUUUGACACAAAUUUAUGCCACAACAGAAACAACAAAAACAAAACAAAAAAUGUAAAAAACGUAUAAAUGUCUUUGGGAUUUUGUGUUUGGGUUGAAAAAAACAUAAAUAAGUCUUCUGUAGCGAAUGAGUUAAUGUGAUCUUUCACCCCAACGCCUCACACCAAGUAUUAAAUGAUGAAUGCCACCUUAUGCUACAACGGUGAGUAGUUUGGGUCCCAAAGAAAUAACAUUUUAACACCUAAUGGGAUGCCAUCCAUCUUGUCCUCAUUCGGGUCACAGGUGAGCUGGAGUCUAUCCGAGCUAACUUUGGUCACCAUCCAAUCACAGCCUCAAUCUCUUGACUCAGAGGCUAACAUGUUAAACACUCGUCCAACGCAUUAAACACUCUACCCGAAGUUUUGACUUUGAAACCACAAACCUCCCCAGAGACUUUGUUUGCAGCUUUCUAUGCAACAUAAGCGCAAUUAUCUUUGCUUAAAUGUUGAGUGCCGCUUCUUUAUAGGGCACCUCAAUAUCUCAUAUCUGCCCUGCAGUCAAGAAUUGGAUCUAAUGGUUGAAACUUACCAGAACAACAGCAGCUGCGGGCCCAACAAAGGCGUACAGGAGCCCCCCCUCCAAAGACAGCCAACAGCUGCAGGGAAAGCAAGCAGUAACAGUUAACUUGCAGCCAGCCAUUAACAUCGGAGUUAAUGGCACACAUAAUAACAUCCGCUUGUAUUUUCCUCAGUUGUCAGGGGAGCAAGCGCCAUAUGCUGGAACUCUAUUUGCAGAUUUUCACACACUAAAAAGAAUCUAAGCAUUGUUCAUUCCUUUGGUAUCAAGCUGAGAUACAACUCACGAGAAAUUGGGGUCUUGCUGAGCGAUCUCGAAAUCCGAUUGGGUUCAUGCUACUGUCUUUAUGGGUCUAUUUAAGAUAAGUGAGCCACUGCGGAGACACUUAAUCAUUGCGCUUAAGUGUCGCAAUAGAUGUGCUACAUGUGCACUGAAUGUUAAAAGGAUUAAAAAAGGCAAACUUACUAUAAGGGUGUCCCAUAGCCUUUUGUUUUGGUGAAGCCCAUUGAUACAGCAACCACUAAAGCCGGCAAUCCUUGAAGAGAAAACAAUAAUUAGCCAAGCGCUCUUGUGUUAUGGGAUACAUAUGAGACAUUUUGUCUGCAAUAUGCUGUGAAAAUCCUUACCAAUUCCCACAAAAUAACAUUAGUUUACACAAUGAAAUAUGUCAACAGUGCACCAUGAACCCGGAAAAGGAAAUUGUGAUUUCACAUGAUAAAAGUUCGAGCAGCCCUACAGUAAAAAUCACUGUACAGUGAAAAACAAACAAACAAACAAACAUCCGAUGCCUUGGCAUGAUGGGCUCAGUUCUUACAACUGUGUGCUCAGAAUGUUAAUGUUCUGGAAAGCGCAUGAAGGUGCUAUUGAUGUAAUCGGCUUCCUCGAGUCAGGAGGCGCAUGCAGCCCCCGUGGCCAUCCACAAUGUCUCUCUGCAGUGCUGAAGAUGUGAAGUGUACACACGGGUGUCAUAAAUCACCGCCCGCGUACAGUUGCAAUAUUUCACACAGGCCGAAUGAAGAUACGAGUAACAUUUGGCGUGCAUCCCUUUUUCUAAUCAAUUUUGAAAAUGUUUUAAAUAUAGAAAGUUAUGCAGAUAAAUGAGAUUUCAAUCAAUCAAAAGCAUUGGGUAAUAUACAAACAAUCUGUCUUCCUUAACAUCCCAUGAUGUGUAAUGGCAUCUUUGUUAUAAAUCUAAGUGAAUAGGAGACAGGAAGCGGUGGCUCUGCAAUGGCUAGGAGAGCCAUGUUUGUUGCUAGGUAACAAGAAGAAUGAACGUGGGCUCUUUCAAAAACAAAUUCAUUGUUGUAUUUUUUUUCUUUUAAAAUGAGACAUCGGAAAGAAAGAACCUUUUGGACCAUGAUCCACUCAAAAAUGUGUCAAAUCAUGAACAUUGAGGUUUUUUUUUGUUUUUUUUCUUUCUUUGCUUAUGCAAUAGAAAAUCACAAUAUCGAACAGUAAUUUGAUUUUACAAAGCAUUGCUGGCCCCCUUAGGUUUAAUCAAAAGACAGGAAUUUCACUGUAUGUUGGAGAGUUUGAGGAAAAUCUAUUGCUUACGUACCCCAACCUAGACAAAGAAAACGCUUGCGGAUCAGCCUGGUCCGAACCUUUCCCGUCACUGCCAUGUAGGACUGCCAAGCCUCUGUGAGAACCCAGCAGAACGAUGCCAAGAAGAAGAAGUGCAGAAGGGCCGUGGUCAUAAUGCAGACACCCUAGUCACACAUGGGAGAGAAAAGAAAGAUGCCAGUUUCAUGAAUAACAUGCGUAAAGCUUGGCGGACGUAAUAUAGAUUCCCUAACAGCAAGAGGUGCCAGUCAUUGCAGUGUAUGGAACAAAACAUAAAUAUCAGUAGGCUGCACAGCUUCUGAGGCAACAGUGGCCCUAAAAGAUCAGAGCUGGUGGACUGCGUCGCAUUCCUCUGCAUUGACCCUCAUUAGUAUGCCGGGGAUCCCACCUGCAGGCAUGCGAACCAAGGUCAACCGCUGUACCCAGAAACACAAAACCAAAACACUUCCUAAAUGGUACAGAAAGCCUGCUGGAGGCAGGAGAUAGCAUUCAAGUCAAAUAAUGGAGCAGCUCUUUGCAGCUUCAUUAGCUCGUCCAUCUUUGUUCCACAGAGAAACAUCGCCACGGGGGGAUUGUUUAGGAGAGGAUUAGAAAUAAAGAGAUAUCCUUAAGUGUCUUGUCAAGGCACACUGACAUCUGACAGAGACGGAAUUGCGCUUUUUUGUAAAUCGUCUCAGGCAAUCUAGUUUAGUUCGGGGUAAAGACCGAAGUGUAUCAUCCCAUCCACACUGUGUGACUUCCCCCCUCUGAGAGAACCACUCUAAAUCCACCCGUUAUGCUCACAGGGUUCAAACCAGAGAAUAAUCCUGUAUUACCUCAUACCUGACAAGUGGGUAGGUAUUUGCUUAAACCCACAGAGGGCAUUAAAAGUGCCGUCUGCCUUGGUUAUGUACUGCAUGGGAGGUGCAAACUUCCCAAUGUGUACAUUACUCCUUCUUGCUGCUUCGACAUUGCAAACCCGCUCCCAUGUAACACACACAAGCAUUGGUUAUGUUUGUUGUCCGCUAAUAAUAGUGAUUUGUAGUAUAUGAUUUGUAGUAUAUGAUAGUGUAUGAUUUGUAAUAGUGAUUUGGUAAAGUUUAGCUCCUAAUGUUAGCUUUCAUUGCAUGUAUAGCCUAUUAUAACCACAUGACGGCUACGUAUUGUCACUUGCUUCUCUGAGAGACAGCAAUUGCUGGAGAGACAGACAUUUACCCCUACGCCAGAUGGGGUGAGUGACAGCCAUGAACAACAAUCAUUUUAUCCAGGCCGAAUGAAAUUAUGACUUUAGUUUAACUUUGAGGCUACUUGUGUUCAAUCUGUUUGUUGAAACCAGUAUUGGUAACAUCUCCUACCUGGUGGUGAUGUUCUUACAGUUCUUGGUUGAAAAGAACUAUGUGGAAUGAAAUACCAAAUGAACUUUUGUGGAGUAGGGUCUUCUUUACUAACAAAAUAGGCUAAAAGGAUACAAUUUAUUAAACAUAUGCACGUACUUAUAUGUAUUACUGUGGUUGUAGUCUGCAGUGAUGAAGUACCUCUAUCCAUUCAAUUUCCAUAAAGCUUAUCCUCACUCAGGUCAGGGCAAGCUGGAGCCUAUCCCAGCUGUCUUUGGGCGAGAAGCGGGGUACACGCUGGACUGGUGGCCAGCCAAUCACAGGGCACAUAUCGACAAACAACCAUUCACACUCACAUUCAUACCUAUGGACAAUUUGGAAUCACCGAUUGACCUAACGGGGGAUGCCCAAGCGGUUCGAAUCCAGGUAUUCCCGAUCUCCUGACUGUGGCCUACAUACUAACCACUCAUCCUCCGUGCAACACUGAGAACCCAAUUAUUACAUUAUUGAUGCAGUAUAAUACAACCUGUACAAGCUGUAUCUGUACAGCACAACUGUCAGCAAUACAGACAUCGUAAUGGGUCUGAAUAGUGCAGGUGUACCAAAUGAAGUGUCAAGUAAGUUGACAUAAAGAGCCAUACAUAUCAGGAACACAAUCUAUUAAUACACCCUGUUGACCAAUGGAUGUUUUUUUUCCAGUGUUCCCUCUGUGCUAUUCAUGCUCAUCUGCAUUACACAAGGAUGACUAUACCAUUCAGCCUCAUUAGUGUGUGCAGAUAAAAACUCAGCAUUGGGAAAGACGACAGGGACAUUAUGAAAAGCAUGUUAUGAAAGCGAUGGACGGUUGCAGGCAGUCAUACAAAAAAAUGUGAGAUUGAAACCGGGAAGUCACACUGGCCUUUAGAAAAGCAAAUGUCGGGAAAUGUGGAGCUCAGUGUGUUGGUAUCCAUGGAAACAAAGGAAGUGAGGAAGGACCACAUUAAAACAUGGCAGAAGUGAUAGACACUGAGACUGGGUGGAGGGUGAUGGGGAGCAGUUAAAGACGGUCCAGCAACAGGAUGCUUAGGCCAUACAUUUGAAGAGUCAUUAUUCAUUAUUUCCAAAUGCAUAGCACGUUAAGCUUGAAUAAAUUAAUUCAUGAAUUACACAUUCUUGAAAGCAAACGUAUAAUGUCAGGCAUUGGCAACAUUGAGCACACAAAAAUGGUAUUUCAGUAAUAUAUACAGUAGAGUGAGGCAAAUCAUACUCUUGAAGCAUUAGAAACUGACUCUAAUUGGAUUAAACUCAUGUUGACUUAGCGGUUACGCUAAAUCCCUCAGAGCACUGAGCAGUUUCAUUUGCCAAUCACUGAAUUGUUUCCUUAUUUUCUCUCCUCACGGAUUACAAGAGAGCCACUUGCAGGAGAACACAGGGAGCAUGCACAAUUGACAGUAACUCUUUUAACCUUUGGCUGCAGACAAUAAUAAUCAACCUGUUACUCACAAGUAGUUACAGUG